AUACCUGAUGGUAUGAUGAGAUUGCAUGAUAGCAUCAUUAAAGAUUUAUCGGCGUACGAUGGGGAUGCGUUCCAUUAGGUAGUAGGCGGGGUAACGGCCCACCUAGUCUUCGAUGGAUAGGGGUCCUGAGAGGAAGGUCCCCCACAUUGGAACUGAGACACGGUCCAAACUCCUACGGGAGGCAGCAGUGAGGAAUAUUGGUCAAUGGGCGAGAGCCUGAACCAGCCAAGUAGCGUGAAGGAUGACUGCCCUAUGGGUUGUAAACUUCUUUUAUAAAGGAAUAAAGUCGGGUAUGCAUACCCGUUUGCAUGUACUUUAUGAAUAAGGAUCGGCUAACUCCGUGCCAGCAGCCGCGGUAAUACGGAGGAUCCGAGCGUUAUCCGGAUUUAUUGGGUUUAAAGGGAGCGUAGAUGGAUGUUUAAGUCAGUUGUGAAAGUUUGCGGCUCAACCGUAAAGUUGCAGUUGAUACUGGAUAUCUUGAGUGCAGUUGAGGCAGGCGGAAUUCGUGGUGUAGCGGUGAAAUGCUUAGAUAUCACGAAGAACUCCGAUUGCGAAGGCAGCCUGCUAAGCUGCAACUGACAUUGAGGCUCGAAAGUGUGGGCAUCAAACAGGAUUAGAUACCCU
rnacentral:rRNA from 1 species